rnacentral:tRNA from 1 species
ACCUGGCUGGCUCAGUCAGUGGAGCAUGUGACUCUUGAUCUCGGGGAUAUGGGUUCGAGCCCUGUGUUGGGUG